CACGUAGGGCGCAAGCGUUGUCCGGAAUUAUUGGGCGUAAAGAGCUCGUAGGCGGUCUGUUGCGUCCGCUGUGAAAACUCGGGGCUUAACCCCGAGCCUGCAGUGGAUACGGGCAGACUAGAGUGUGGUAGGGGAGACUGGAAUUCCUGGUGUAGCGGUGGAAUGCGCAGAUAUCAGGAGGAACACCGAUGGCGAAGGCAGGUCUCUGGGCCAUUACUGACACUGAGAAGCGAAAGCAUGGGGAGCGAACAGG
rnacentral:rRNA from 1 species